CACGUAGGCGGAUAUUUAAGUCAGGGGUGAAAUCCCAGAGCUCAACUCUGGAACUGCCUUUGAUACUGGGUACCUUGAGUAUGGAAGAGGUAAGUGGAAUUCCGAGUGUAGAGGUGAAAUUCGUAGAUAUUCGGAGGAACACCAGUGGCGAAGGCGGCUUACUGGUCCAUUACUGACGCUGAGGUGCGAAAGCGUGGGGAGCAAACA
rnacentral:rRNA from 1 species